rnacentral:siRNA from 1 species
UAACCUUUGUGCCAGACCCCAU